rnacentral:rRNA from 1 species
CCUACGGGGGGCUGCAGUCGAGAAUCAUUCACAAUGGGCGAAAGCCUGAUGGUGUGACGCCGCGUGGAGGAUGAAGGUCUUCGGAUUGUAAACUCCUGUCAAGUGGGGGUAAGGCACUGCGAGGAAAUGCGCGUGUGCUUGAGAGUACCACUAGAGGAAGGGACGGCUAACUUCGUGCCAGCAGCCGCGGUAAUACGAAGGUCCCAAGCGUUGUUCGGAAUCACUGGGCGUAAAGGGUGCGUAGGCUGCGCGGAAAGUCAGAGGUGAAAUCCCGG